UGUAAGAGUAUACCAAAGUUGUUGCAGUUAAAACGCUCGUAGUCGGAAUUUGGCAGUUCCGGAUGUGUGCACGUCGUGUGCGCACUUCGCGGGGAUUGCUUUUGUGGUCUUGCGUAGGAUGAGGCACUUUUAUUAGUGAACGUCCUCACGCAACCACUUUUUACUGUGAGAAAAUCAGAGUGCUCAAAGCAGGCAUUUGCCGUGAAUGUAUUAGCAUGGAAUAAUAGAAUAGGACUUGGUUCUAUUUUGUUGGUUUGUUGGGACUGAGUAAUGAUUAAGAGGGACAGUUGGGGGCAUUUGUAUUUCGGUGCUAGAGGUGAAAUUCUUAGAUUACCGAAAGACAAACUGCUGCGAAAGCGUCUGCCAAGGAUGUUUUCAUUGA
rnacentral:rRNA from 1 species